AAUGGAGCUUAAAGCCCAAAUGGUGGAAAAAGGGAUUGAGCCAGAUGUUUUCACAUAUACUACGCUCUUAUCAGGAUUUGAGAAGGCUGGGAAGGAUGAAUCUGCAAUGAGGGUUUUUGAGGAAAUGAGAGCGGCUGGUUGUAAGCCUAAUAUAUGUACUUUCAAUGCUUUAAUCAAGAUGCAUGGUAACAGGGCAAAGUUUGCUGAAAUGAUGAAGGUUUUUGAGGAGAUUAAAAGGUGCAAUUGUGUGCCAGAUAUUGUUACAUGGAAUACACUUUUGGCUGUGUUUGGACAAAAUGGGAUGGACUCAGAAGUGUCUGGGGUGUUCAAAGAGAUGAAGAGGGCUGGGUUUGUGCCUGAGAGGGACACUUUCAAUACACUAAUCA
rnacentral:misc_RNA from 1 species